CUGAAUUUAAAUGCGCUUGUCCGCCAGGUUUCAGAGGCCCGACAUGUACUGGAGUGAUAGUUGAAUGUGGUAACAACGAAUUUUUAUGUGCAAGUGGUGAGUGCAUAGCGCUUAGUAAGAAAUGCAACAAUAAUCCGUAUGACUGUGCAGAUAAUUCGGAUGAGCCCGAUGGGGAAUGCAACACGGAUGAAUGUGGAUAUUUACUGGAGGAUCUUGAUUCGAUGACAAGGCAGUGCGGC